CAAGCCAUAGGGCACUUGCAACUUGAGAAAAAACACAGAGCCCUGCAAGAGUAACGACGUAAAUUGACUACAUUGAAAAGCCUUGAACUGAAGCAGGACCAAGCAAGUAAUUAAGAUUAAAGAGACAGCAAUAAAUCCACAACAUACCGCAGAAGAUCCUGAGAAUCUCAGUAAGAAGAAAAAUACCAUACAUCAAAAGACUAUUUAAGACCUUACAUAAAUAACAACAACCUGAAGAAGGACUUCCCGAAACGAGGCAGUGUACCCGGGAUUACUUGUUGUUGCAUAGUUUUGUUCUACAUACACACAACAGCUGUGGACUGUUUUCCGUUGAGUUUGAUGUAUGCUUUACUUUAUAUGUUACUCAAUAAGGUUGUAUAAUUGUAUAUAUACCAUAA